CACAAGGAGUCGGUGAACUUAGUGGGAGGUUCAUCUUCUGGUUCUUGACCCUUUAAGAAAGGAAGAAGAACAAGAAGAAGAAAGUGAAGAAGGUGCAAGUUCAGGCUAGGACAUCAGUGCAGGGCUAGAUCAGAAAGAUCAAGCCCGAUAAGAGUCUAUUCUACUGGCAAGCACUCUAGAUUAGAUAGUGUGUCAGAUAUCUACUUAUGGCACUGUAGGCUAGGUCAUAUAAAUAAGAACAAAAUAAACAGGUUGACUC
rnacentral:lncRNA from 1 species